rnacentral:rRNA from 1 species
ACUCCUACGGGAGGCAGCAGUGGGGAAGUAUUGCACAAUGGGCGCAAGCCUGAUGCAGCCAUGCCGCGUGUAUGAAGAAGGCCUUCGGGUUGUAAAGUACUUUCAGCAGUGAGGAAGGUGGAUAUGUUAAUAGCAUACUCAUUUGACGUUAGCUGCAGAAGAAGCACCGGCUAACUCCGUGCCAGCAGCCGCGGUAAUACGGAGGGUGCGAGCGUUAAUCGGAAUUACUGGGCUAAAGCGCAUGCAGGUGGUUUGUUAAGUCAGAUGUGAAAGCCCGGGGCUCAACCUCGGAAUUGCAUUUGAAACUGGCAAACUAGAGUACUGUAGAGGGGGGUAGAAUUUCAGGUGUAGCGGUGAAAUGCGUAGAGAUCUGAAGGAAUACCGGUGGCGAAGGCGGCCCCCUGGACAGAUACUGACACUCAGAUGCGAAAGCGUGGGGAGCAAACAGGAUUAGAUACCCUGGUAGGUCUGC